GCAAGUCGAACGCUUCUUUCCUCCGAGUGCUUGCACUCAAUUGGAAAGAGGAGUGGCGGACGGGUGAGUAACACGUGGGUAACCUACCCAUCAGAGGGGGAUAACACUUGGAAACAGGUGCUAAUACCGCAUAACAGUUUAUGCCGCAUGGCAUAAGAGUGAAAGGCGCUUUCGGGUGUCGCUGAUGGAUGGACCCGCGGUGCAUUAGCUAGUUGGUGAGGUAACGGCUCACCAAGGCCACGAUGCAUAGCCGACCUGAGAGGGUGAUCGGCCACACUGGGACUGAGACACGGCCCAGACUCCUACGGGAGGCAGCAGUAGGGAAUCUUCGGCAAUGGACGAAAGUCUGACCGAGCAACGCCGCGUGAGUGAAGAAGGUUUUCGGAUCGUAAAACUCUGUUGUUAGAGAAGAACAAGGACGUUAGUAACUGAACGUCCCCUGACGGUAUCUAACCAGAAAGCCACGGCUAACUACGUGCCAGCAGCCGCGGUAAUACGUAGGUGGCAAGCGUUGUCCGGAUUUAUUGGGCGUAAAGCGAGCGCAGGCGGUUUCUUAAGUCUGAUGUGAAAGCCCCCGGCUCAACCGGGGAGGGUCAUUGGAAACUGGGAGACUUGAGUGCAGAAGAGGAGAGUGGAAUUCCAUGUGUAGCGGUGAAAUGCGUAGAUAUAUGGAGGAACCCAGUGGCGAGGCGGCUCUUGGUCUGUACUGACCUGAGCUCGAAGCGUGGGAGCAACAGAU
rnacentral:rRNA from 1 species